rnacentral:rRNA from 1 species
UACGUAGGGUCCGAGCGUUGUCCGGAAUUAUUGGGCGUAAAGAGCUCGUAGGCGGUCUGUCGCGUCGGCUGUGAAAACACGGGGCUCAACUCCGUGCCUGCAGUCGAUACGGGCAGACUAGAGUUCGGUAGGGGAGAAUGGAAUUCCCGGUGUAGCGGUGAAAUGCGCAGAUAUCGGGAGGAACACCGGUGGCGAAGGCGGUUCUCUGGGCCUUACCUGACGCUGAGGAGCGAAAGCCAGGGGAGCAAACGGGG